CGCGUAGGCGGUUGGGUAAGUUAGCUGUGAAAGGCCUGGGCUUAACCUAGGUAGGCCAGUUAAUACUGCCUGACUUGAGUACAGUAGAGGUAAGUGGAAUUUCCGGUGUAGCGGUGAAAUGCGUAGAUAUCGGAAGGAACACCAGUGGCGAAGGCGACUUACUGGACUGGUACUGACGCUGAGGCGCGAAGGCGUGGGGAGCAAACA
rnacentral:rRNA from 1 species